CAGGUGGCGGAAUUGGCAUACGCAGCGGGUUGAGGGCCUGUGCCCUUACGGGCGUGGAGGUUCGAGUCCUCUCCUGGGCA
rnacentral:tRNA from 1 species